rnacentral:rRNA from 1 species
GGAACUGGAGAGUGGCGCACGGGUGAGUAACGCGUGGGGACCUACCUUUCAGUGGGGGAUAACGGUUGGAAACGACCGCUAAUACCGCAUACGCCCUUCGGGGGAAAGAUUUAUCGCUGAAAGAUGGACCCGCGUUGGAUUAGAUAGUUGGUGAGGUAACGGCUCACCAAGUCAGCGAUCCAUAGCUGGUUUGAGAGGAUGAUCAGCCACACUGGGACUGAGACACGGCCCAGACUCCUACGGGAGGCAGCAGUGGGGAAUAUUGGACAAUGGGCGCAAGCCUGAUCCAGCCAUGCCGCGUGAGUGAAGAAGGCCUUCGGGUUGUAAAGCUCUUUCAGAUGCGAAGAUGAUGACGGUACCAUCAGAAGAAGCCCCGGCUAAUUUCGUGCCAGCAGCCGCGGUAAUACGAAAGGGGCAAGCGUUGUUCGGAUUUACUGGGCGUAAAGGGCACGCAGGCGGUCUUGCCAGUCAGGGGUGAAAGCCCGGGGCUCAACCCCGGAACUGCCUCUGAUACUGCAAGACUAGAGACUAGGAGAGGGUGGUGGAAUUCCCAGUGUAGAGGUGAAAUUCGUAGAUAUUGGGAGGAACACCAGAGGCGAAGGCGGCCACCUGGACUAGAUCUGACGCUCAG